UACGUAGGUGGCGAGCGUUGUCCGGAAUUACUGGGUGUAAAGGGAGCGUAGGCGGGUCGGCAAGUCAGUGGUGAAAUACAUGGGCUUAACCCAUGAAUUGCCAUUGAAACUGCCGGUCUUGAGUGGAUCAGAGGCAAGCGGAAUUCCGAGUGUAGCGGUGAAAUGCGUAGAUAUUCGGAGGAACACCAGUGGCGAAGGCGGCUUGCUGGGGUCUAACUGACGCUGAGGCUCGAAAGUGUGGGGAGCAAACAGGAUUAGAUACCCGUGUA
rnacentral:rRNA from 1 species